rnacentral:lncRNA from 1 species
AAAACUAGGUAUAUCUGAUUACAGGCAAACAAAAAUAAGCAUCUGGAAUAGAGCACAAAAUAUGAUAACCAUUGUGGAGAAGUAAGGGAUGGAGUUAGGUAUACAAGAUUUAACUCUUCACUCACAUUGUAUUAUCUUUCCAUCUUAUAUGUACAUGUUAUAGUUCUAAAACUUUUUAAGGUUAAAAAUCCUUUCUAUCCAUAAACUUUUAAAAACAAAAGGUGAGGGGAAGAAGACAAAUACGAAAACUGCCAUUUUAAACCACUGCUUUCCCAGUUCCCUGAUCAUUUCUGUCUCCCUGGGCUGCCGUGCUUUGUGUCAAGUCAUCAACUUCUCUGUUUCAGCAUCGAAAUAUCCCAGCCUCCCAGGAUACCAAGACCCUUCCCAGUUCCUCAAGUUAAAAUCCUGGACAUCCAUCAGUCGGCUUCAUGGUCACCUGGGCUGUUCUUCACAUGCAAAUCCCUGGGUCCUACCCCGAAAUUAUUCUCUCAGAAUUUCAGGAUUUGUCUGCUAUUGAAGGAAAGCAUAGCCAACUAAUACAAUUCUGGCUUACUUUGAAGAAUAUCUGAGCGCCAUAGGACAAAAUUCACCUAUCGAUCAUCCUAUUCUCCAUCCUAUCAAGAGUAGUCCAUUUAUUUUGUUCAACCAAAGGCAUUCUUUUUCCUCCCUGCCCCCUAGCCCCUCAACGUUCCCAAAUAGAUGCCCCUGUUAGGCAUUCCCCUAGACCUGGGCAGUCGGUGUCCUGCCUGCACCUCUCGCUCUUUAGAGGCCGUGGUUCUGGCCCUCCUCUGGUUGCCUGCCUCUUUGCUCAGAGCCAGCCCUUUCUCUUAUCAGGACUUCUCUUCCCAGGGUCCAUUCUUCAGAGGGAAGGGUGGGCCGCAAUAUGCACCCUAGGCCCGAAGGGUGGUCAAGGGGCUGCUGCUGGGGCGACAAAGAGCUCGGAUAUACUGGACAGUGUGUGCUGAAGGCCCCUUGAGGUGCAGGAUGGAGUCUGGGCUUGGAAGAAAAGUGGAAGGAGAGUUCUCCAAUUGUACUUCUGGCCCGGGGUUGUAAAUGGUAGGGGAGGCCCAAGACACAGCUUCACUUUCGAAAUGUUAAUGAAUAUUCUGUUUCUGAUGAAUGUAUUCAGUGCCUGUAGAACAAGAGAAUUCAGAGAGGCGUAGGGUUCAUUUGGGACUUUUUAGGCUAAGAGUGCAUUAAACCAGCUCCCCAGCCCUGGGGCCAUAGGACUGUCGGGCAUGAAUCUAAAACUACUCCAUAUGCUAUAUCUGCGGCGUUGGAGUUAGUGGGGUGUGGGACUGCAGGGUUUCAGGUGCUCACAUCAGGGCUACAGAAUCAUCCUCCUUUCUGUUAACCGCGCACAGGGAGUCGAGUGCUCCUUUGUGCCAUCACCUCUUCUCGAAGCUCCAGGCGCAGAGGGCAAACGCUGACGCCCUUUCCCGCCUUCUCUCCGUCUGCGAGUUCCGGAGGGCAGUGCACUGUGCAGCCUCCGUACUUCCCGACACGUUCCGCCUGCAAACCACUUAGGAGCUUCUGCCGGCAAUUUCUCGGAUGCAGCGCGGAGCCCAGCCUCCCGCACUGACUCAGGCCCGGCACCACCCCGCCUGCUGAGGGCGUCGUCGCGGGCGCCACCGACGGCGCCAGCCUGCGUUCCUAAAGGCUCCAGGACAGGUGUGGGGCUGAAAUCCCGCUCCUCCAGCAUCUUCCCCUCCCUACCAAAAGAAGGCUGCUUUAAAUAUUCCCGGCCUGGAGCAGCAGCAGCUAAGGACCUGGAAAGAGGCCCGAAAAGGCCAGGGCAGGGCGAACGAACGUGCUGUCCCUAUUUACCGGCCACACGCUCUGACUGCGGGCUGACCCUGAUCGCACACUUCGAGCCUGUUCACUCGCUGGGCGGACCCUCCCUCCACGCUCCGCGCCCAGGCAGGCGAGGUCACCCACUCGAAGUCACCACGUUUGAGUAGCCCUGGUUGGUGGGGCAGCGCCCCCUUGGCCAACGCCCCGCCCUCCUCUCCAUCUUCCGACGCUGGGCUCUCGCCCUUCGGCGUCCGAGAGCCCCUAUUGCUGCCCAGCUGGCCCCAAAAGCGUCCGAAAGUCCCCUCUUGGCUUAUUUCAGAGAUGCCACGCAAUAAAGAAAAGGCGGCUACUUUGCAUUCCGCAGCUGCUGGGACGCCCGGGCUGCGAGCGCGGCUCCUGGAUUCCAGCCUCCCGCCCUUCCCAGGCGCUGGAAUGGACACGGACGCCCACAGUGGCGGGCCAGGUAGUGCCG